UAGAGUUUGAUCCUGGCUCCAACGAACGCUGGCGGCGUGCCUAAUACCUGCAAGUCGAACGAGAAAGUGUAGCAAUACAUUAGUAAAGUGGCCGACGGGUGAGUAAUACAUAGGUAACCUACCUCUAAAUUGGGGAUAACCUUCCGAAAGGAGGGCUAUUACCGAAUGAGACCACAGAGACAUAUGUCUAAGGGGUUAAAGACGGCCUCUACUUGUAAGCUGUCGUUUAGAGAUGGGCUUAUGCACCAUUAGCCUGUUGGUAAGGUAACGGCUUACCAAAGCUACAAUGGUUAGCUGAUCUGAGAGGUUGAUCAGCCACACUGGAACUGAGACACGGUCCACACUCCUACGGGAGGCAGCAGUAGGGAAUAUUGCGCAAUGGAGGAAACUCUGACGCAGCGACGCCACGUGGGUGACGAAGGCCUUCGGGUCGUAAGGCCCCGUCGGAUGGGAAGAAACACGGCAUGGCUAAUAUCCAUACCGCUUGACGGUACCAUUAAAGGAAGCACCGGCUAACUACGUGCCAUCAGCCGCGGUAAUACGUAGGGUGCGAGCGUUGUUCGGAAUCAUUGGGCGUAAAGCGAGAGUAGGUGGGUUGCUCAGUCGGGUGUGAAAUCCCUGGGCUCGACCCAGGAAGUGCAUUCGAAACUAGCUGGCUAGAAGAUGGUAGAGGAACGUGGAUUACAAGCGUAGCGGUGAAUUCCUUCAUAUUUGGAGGAUACCAGCAGGGAUGGCAGCCUGCUGGACCACUCUGACUCUGAGACUCGAAAGCAUGAGUAGCAACAGGAUAGAUACCCUGCUAGUCUACGUCGUAAACGAUGGGAACUAGGCGCUGCAGUAU
rnacentral:rRNA from 1 species